rnacentral:SRP_RNA from 1 species
GCCGGGCACAGUGGCAUGUGCUUGUAGUCCCAGCUACUUGGGAGGCUGAGGUGGGAGGAUUGCUUGAGCCCAGGAGUUCUGGGCUGUAGUGCGCUAUGUCGAUCGGGUGUCCACACUAAGUUCAGCAUCAAUAUGGUGACCUCCCGGCAGUAGGGUACCAUUAGGUUGCCUAAGGAGGGGUGAACUGGCCCAGGUCGGAAACGGAGCAGGUCAAAACUUCCGUGCUGAUCAGUAGCGGGAUCGCACCUGUGAAUAGCCACUGCACUCCAGCCUGGGCAACAUAGCAAGACCCACACUCU